rnacentral:rRNA from 1 species
CAGGGAAUAUUGCACAAUGGGCGAAAGCCUGAUGCAGCGACGCCGCGUGCGGGAUGAAGGCCUUCGGGUUGUAAACCGCUUUCAGGAGGGACGAAAAUGACGGUACCUCCAGAAGAAGGCCCGGCCAACUACGUGCCAGCAGCCGCGGUAAUACGUAGGGGCCAAGCGUUGUCCGGAUUUAUUGGGCGUAAAGGGCUCGUAGGCGGUUUGGUAAGUCAAUCGUGAAAUGUCGGGGCUCAACCCCGAGACUGCGGUCGAAACUGCCAUGACUAGGGUCCGGUAGAGGUGAGUGGAAUUCUCGGUGUAGCGGUGAAAUGCGCAGAUAUCGAGAGGAACACCAGUAGCGAAGGCGGCUCACUGGGCCGGUACCGACGCUGAGGAGCGAAAGCGUGGGGAGCAAACAGGAUUAGAUACCCCCGUAGUCC